GAUGAACGCUGGCGGCGUGCCUAAUACAUGCAAGUCGAGCGAACGGACGAGAAGCUUGCUUCUCUGAUGUUAGCGGCGGACGGGUGAGUAACACGUGGAUAACCUACCUAUAAGACUGGGAUAACUUCGGGAAACCUUAGCUAAUACCGGAUAAUAUUUUGAACCGCAUGGUUCAUAAGUGAAAGACGGUCUUGCUGUCACUUAUAGAUGGAUCCGCGCUGCAUUAGCUAGUUGGUAAGGUAACGGCUUACCAAGGCAACGAUGCAUAGCCGACCUGAGAGGGUGAUCGGCCACACUGGAACUGAGACACGGUCCAGACUCCUACGGGAGGCAGCAGUAGGGAAUCUUCCGCAAUGGGCGAAAGCCUGACGGAGCAACGCCGCGUGAGUGAUGAAGGUCUUCGGAUCGUAAAACUCUGUUAUUAGGGAAGAACAUAUGUGUAAGUAACUGUGCACAUCUUGACGGUACCUAAUCAGAAAGCCACGGCUAACUACGUG
rnacentral:rRNA from 1 species